CUCUGAUUUUUGCACUGACUUUCUGUCUGACAAAGAAUUGGUUUCAAAAUCCUGCUGUUAGUUUACAAAGCGCUGAAUUGUUUAGGGCCAAAGUUCAUUCAGGAUCUCCUGGUUCAUUAUGAAUCAACCAGAUCUCUCAGGUCAUCAGGGUUAAGUCUGCUUUCUGUUCCCAGAGUCAGAACUAAACAUGGAGAGGCAGCUUUCAGCUUUUAUGUGAAACAAACUCCCAGG